rnacentral:rRNA from 1 species
GACGAACGCUGGCGGCGUGCUUAACACAUGCAAGUCGAACGGAAAGGCUCCAGCUUGCUGGAGUACUCGAGUGGCGAACGGGUGAGUAACACGUGGGUAAUCUGCCCUGCACUCUGGGAUAAGCCUGGGAAACUGGGUCUAAUACUGGAUAUGACCUUUCUCCUUAUGGGGUUUGGUGGAAAGUUUUUCGGUGUAGGAUGAGCCCGCGGCCUAUCAGCUUGUUGGUGGGGUGAUGGCCUACCAAGGCGACGACGGGUAGCCGGCCUGAGAGGGUGAUCGGCCACAUUGGGACUGAGAUACGGCCCAGACUCCUACGGGAGGCAGCAGUGGGGAAUAUUGCACAAUGGGCGGAAGCCUGAUGCAGCGACGCCGCGUGAGGGAUGACGGCCUUCGGGUUGUAAACCUCUUUCAGCAGAGACGAAGCGUAAGUGACGGUACCUGCAGAAGAAGCACCGGCUAACAUGUG